UACGGAGGGUGCAAGCGUUAUCCGGAAUUACUGGGUUUAAAGGGUGCGUAGGCUGUAUAUUUAGUCAGGCGUGAAAGAAUCUUGCUUAACGAGAGAAUUGCGUUUGAAACUGAUAUACUUGAAUUAGGAUGAGGUUAGCAGAAUGUGACAUGUAGCGGUGAAAUGCAUAGAUAUGUCAUAGAAUACCGAUUGCGAAGGCAGCUAACUGGCCCUAUAUUGACGCUGAGGCACGAAAGCGUGGGGAGCGAACAGG
rnacentral:misc_RNA from 1 species